CCUACGGGCGGCAGCAGUGAGGAAUAUUGGUCAAUGGACGAGAGUCUGAACCAGCCAAGUAGCGUGAAGGAUGACUGCCCUAUGGGUUGUAAACUUCUUUUAUAAAGGAAUAAAACGAGGCACGUGUGCCUUUUUGCAUGUACUUUAUGAAUAAGGAUCGGCUAACUCCGUGCCAGCAGCCGCGGUAAUACGGAGGAUCCGAGCGUUAUCCGGAUUUAUUGGGUUUAAAGGGAGCGGAGAUGGGUUGUUAAGUCAGUUGUGAAAGUUUGCGGCUCAACCGUAAAAUUGCAAUUGAUACUGGCAGUCGUGAGUACAGUUGAGGUAGGCGGAAUUCGUGGUGUAGCGGUGAAAUGCUUAGAUAUCACGAAGAACCCCGAUUGCGAAGGCAGCUUACUAAACUGUGACUGACAUUGAUGCUCGAAAGUGUGGGUAUCAAACAGGAUUAGAUACCCCGGUAGUC
rnacentral:rRNA from 1 species